GACGAACGCUGGCGGCGUGCCUAAUACAUGCAAGUCGAACGCUUCUUUCCUCCCGAGUGCUUGCACUCAAUUGGAAAGAGGAGUGGCGGACGGGUGAGUAACACGUGGGUAACCUACCCAUCAGAGGGGGAUAACACUUGGAAACAGGUGCUAAUACCACAUAACAGUUUAUGCCGCAUGGCAUAAGAGUGAAAGGCGCUUUCGGGUGUCGCUGAUGGAUGGACCCGCGGUGCAUUAGCUAGUUGGUGAGGUAACGGCUCACCAAGGCCACGAUGCAUAGCCGACCUGAGAGGGUGAUCGGCCACACUGGGACUGAGGCACGGCCCAGACUCCUACGGGAGGCAGCAGUAGGGAAUCUUCGGCAAUGGACGAAAGUCUGACCGAGCAACGCCGCGUGAGUGAAGAAGGUUUUCGGAUCGUAAAACUCUGUUGUUAGAGAAGAACAAGGACGUUAGUAACUGAACGUCCCCUGACGGUAUCUAACCAGAAAGCCACGGCUAACUACGUG
rnacentral:rRNA from 1 species